GUACCAUUAUCGAAACAGAGAGAAGUAGGGAAAAGCAAGAAGUACCAAACCUAGAACUUCAAUUGUCUCGAUCCUUUUAUCAUAUUGAGCUGUAAAUUCAUCAAUUGCAGCUGCGGGAGGAGGAGGACGUGGUGGAGAAUGGCGGAACACUUGGCCUCGAUUUUUGGGACCGAGAAAGACAGAGUGAACUGCCCUUUUUACUUCAAGAUCGGAGUUGCCGUCACGGCGACCGCUGUUCUCGCCUCCAUACCAAGCCUAGCAUCAGUCCGACUCUGCUUCUCUCCAACAUGUAUCAACGGCCUGAUAUGAUUACUCCUGGCGUCGACGCCCAGGGCCAGCCGAUCGACCCUCACAAAAUGCAAGAGCACUUCGAGGAUUUCUAUGAAGAUCUUUUUGAGGAGCUAAGCAAGUAUGGUGUGAUUGAGAGCUUGAAUAUUUGUGACAAUUUGGCUGACCACAUGGUUGGAAAUGUCUAUGUCCAGUUUAGAGAGGAAGAGCAAGCAGCAAAUGCAUUGAAAAAUCUCACUGGGCGGUACUAUGCAGGACGGCCCAUUAUUGUUGAUUUUUCGCCUGUGACUGAUUUUCGUGAAGCUACUUGUAGACAGUAUGAAGAAAAUACAUGCAAUCGUGGUGGCUACUGUAACUUCAUGCAUCUCAAAAGGAUUAGCAGGGAAUUGCGACGUCAGUUAUUUGGGAGGUAUCGCCGAAGGCGCAGCCGGAGCAGGAGCCGAAGCAGAAGCCCUUACAGGCAUCGCAGCCAUGAAGAGCGUUCCAUCGUCACAGUAGAAGGUAUGAAGACAGAGAUUAUCACCAUGAGAGUCGAAGCAGGAGGCAUAGGAGCACCAGUCCUGACCGUAGGAGGGGAAGAAGUAGGAGCAGGAGUCCAGGUGGCAGGAGAGAUAGAAGUCCUGUUAGGGAUGGUAGUGAAGAGAGACGUGCUAGGAUUGAAAUGUGGAACAGAGAAAGAGAAGAAGCAGAACUAGCGAAUAAGAUCAAUGAUAAUAGCAGCAACAGGAAAAACGAAAGCGAGGACAAUGGGUAUGCACAAAAUGGAGAUCAGUAUUAUCGACAGGAGCCACCAUAUGGAUAUUGAACUGACAGUGGUUCGUUUUCUUCUCUCAUCAUUUUCAUUUAUCUUUGCUCCUUAGUUGAAUUUCUUUUCAAAGGAGGAGCCACCUGUUGUCUAAAUGUAGCUUACUGCGCAUUUUCCACUGUGCAGGUGGUGUGCAGGUUUACAGUUCUGUGAUAUGGCUUGUGAAAAAAAUAUGCACCCUUUUUUGGCUUUCUGAUUUCAUCAUCUUGUGUCUGUGCUUGAAUGCAUUGCAUGAUCUUAGUUUGAUUGUAGCCAGCCACAGUGUAAAAACUAAUCUGUGUUGUCUGUGCAUCUAUAGCUCAUACUGUCUUACAUCAUCAUUCAUGUCUUUUCUGUCAUAACAAUAGUAGAGAUGAGUUGAUGGUAAAUCUUUUUAUGGUUCUUUAAAAAUUUUUGAAGGCAAUCCAUGAGUUAGAUUUUUUUUUUCUUCAUCCCUGUAAUGGGAACAAUUACUUGAGGAGUUUCAUUGCUUAAUUAUUUAAGGUAAUUUCCGGUGUAAAUUUUGCGUUGGGCGAGUUUUUCAAGCCUGACAUCUUUUAAACACGCUUGAGGGAGCCCUUCACUUUGAUAUUUUGAUUGCAUAGACUUGGUGUUUUCGGUUCUGUGUUAGUUGUGAUGUUGUUGCUUGUUGAUCAACUUUACCAUGUCUGUCUCAAUGUCAUUUUUAGCUCAUGGGCAGAUCUUGUCAUGAUUGUCGUAUGUUUUCCUGAGCUUUGUUCCUUUUUUCUUCUUUUAUGUAGAAGCAGAAUGCUUCUAGUAAAUUUAUACAUGACUCAUGGGUAGGGUCUUGUGCAAUUAGUUGUGGUCUUGGUUUAUGACAUCAUUGGGAAGCCGUGUUGUAGUAGGAAUACAAGCUGUAAUAAUGCAUGCAGUGUGCAUUUUUCGUUUAUUAUGUGUGUGCAGUGCAUGUUUCUGAAUUCUAUGUGCAGUCAGGUAUUCUGUCACCGCAACAAAACCAGGCUAGUGACCUUGAACUUGUAUUUCUGCUCUGAAAUUUACUUUAAAAAGUAUUAUCUUACAGCAUCUCGAGUUUUGCAGGUCCAGGUUUCCCUGCUUAAAAGGACCAAGAAUAUAUUUUAACUAAGGCUUACCAUGGAAUGUGUACAGGUUCUGCCAAGUCAGAGAAUAUGAUCCAACAGGUUUGAUGUGACAGGGAUGUGCAGGAUUUCAAGGGCAUAGAAGACUAAUGGAUGCUAGAGUGCCUUUGGCUCCUGAGCUGAAUUGUUAUGAUGAGCAUAAUCUGUUGUAAACUUUUUCAGGUGGUUGUGUAGGUUGGCUGAUGGGAAUUGCUGUUUUUCCUUCGUUGGGUAUACGCUCUAGCUAUUCGUAGACUGAACAGUUUCUAUGAAGUUUUUCAUUUUGUACUGGUUUGUAAUCAUAUAAGACGAGCGCAAUGCAAUCUUGGGAGUUUCUCCUUGGUUUACUGAUGA